UGCCCGGUGGUGUAAUGGUAACACAUCAGUUUUUGGUACUGAGAUUCGAGGUUCGAGUCCUUGCCGGGCAA
rnacentral:tRNA from 1 species